rnacentral:tRNA from 1 species
GGUAAGAUGGCCGAGAGAGUAGGCGGCGGUUUGUAGUCCCGAGCACAAAGGUUUGAUUCCUUUUCUUACCA